UACAGAGGGGGCAAGCGUUAUUCGGAAUUAUUGGGCGUAAAGGGCGCGUAGGCGGCUUGGCAAGUGGAUGGUGAAAUCCCUCGGCUUAACCGAGGAACUGCCGUCCAAACUGCUUAGCUUGAGACCGGGAGAGGUGAGUGGAAUUCCCAGUGUAGCGGUGAAAUGCGCAGAUAUCAGGAAGAACACCCGUGGCGAAGGCGGCUCUCUGGGACGGUACUGACGCUGAGACGCGAAAGCGUGGGGAGCGAACAGG
rnacentral:rRNA from 1 species